GCUGGGGCUCAGUGGUACAGCACUCGACUAGCACAUGCGAGGCCCUGCGUUCGAUCCUCAGCACGGCA
rnacentral:tRNA from 1 species